GAGGGUUGCCACGGUGCACCCUCAGAGGAAUUUGAGGGGCCCGAGAGAGCACUAGUCUGUGCGCUGGGGCCUUGGCUCACCGGUUUCCUGGUAACCGCAUUUCCUCCUUGGCAAGCUGGCUGUGUCAGGCAAAGAGAGAGAGAGCGCGCACAAGUAGGCAGAGUGGCAGGCAGAGGGAGAGAGAGAAGCAGGCUCUCUGCUGAGCACGGAGCUGGACGUGGGGCUCGAUCCCAGGACCCCAGGAUCAUGACCUGAGCCGGAGGCAGCCUAUUAACCGUCUGAGCCAUCCAGGGCUGGGCUCCCUGAACUGUCUUUUGGAGAAACAUCAACAGGUUGCUGCAGAGAACAAAUGUGCUGAGUAGGAAUAUGAUGAAGAACCUGGCUUCUGAAGCUUCUGUGAUGGAACCCAAGCCUUGACCUUGCAAAUACCCAGCUUCUAUCACAUCAGCUCCACAGGUCACAUUUCUGUGUCACCCCAAUCUUUUAGCUGUGGACUCCUCUCCCAAGAUGCUGGUGCCCUUCUCUGCUCCCAAGGCAGCCUGCCAUGGAGACUGAAUCCAUCGCUACCCUGGAAAAGUUCAGGCUGUCACAAUGAGCAGUACCCACUGAGAGCUCAUUGCAACUGGACGUUCAUUGUGGGUUAGCCACUUCAGGGCUGUCAGCUCCCACCAGUCCCACUUGAGGUGCCACUACCUUUCUUUUCCUUCUUGCACUAAGAGUCACAAAGUGGUGGAUGGGGUGGGCUAUCAGAGACCACAAAGUCUAACUUUGUGGUAAAGGGGAGUGUGAGUAGGGCUUGGGUUUCAGAAGCUGGAGUUAAAAUGGCAGCUUUGCCCUUGGCCUAUGUGGUGCUGGCCAAGUCGUGUAACCUCAGACAACCAAAGAUGGGACGUAUCUCAUAGACUGUGUUGAGGUUCAAGCGACGUAACAGGAGGAAAGAGUUUAGCACAGCACCUAGCACAUGGGAGCUGCUUAAUUAACCAGUUAUUGCUCUUCUUCUGAUUAAUGAUGCUGAUUGAUAUUCUUGGCCUGAUCUCCUUUAUCUCCCAUUGGAAGCUAUUUCCCAGCCCCAGCAGGGAGGGUGAGUUACUAUGAGUCCAUCUUGGUGGCUGAGAAGCUGAGGACAGGCUGGGCUCACAGACUGAAGAACAGAGCCAUUUACUAGCUAUAUAACAUUCAUAUGGCUAGAAUACAACACUUUUUAUGCUGAAAUCCUUUUUGUAUUGCUUGACUAUUUUGAAGAAGGUCGUAUUAAUUUUAUAAUAGGAAAAAAUCCCAGUAUAUUAAGAAAAAAACCCAUUGUAAGAACUGGUUGAUAUGUAGUAGUGCAAGACCUGUCACUUCAAAUUACCAUUUAAAAAGAUUUAAAUGAUAUUGUGAUAACCUGAGAUGGAGACAUCACCCUGUGGUACUUUGGCUGGGAAUGCAUCAUCUAAAACUAGUCAUGAGGGAGCAUCAGACAAACCCAGAAAGAGGAACUCAGUAUUAAAAAAGAGAGAGAGAGACUGUAAUUUCAAAAUGUCAAUGUCAUAAAAGACAAAGGAAGAGUACAGAAAUGUUCCAGAAGAAAGGAAACACAAGACACAUGACAACUAAAUGUAAUACCUAAUCCUAGACUGGAUCAAGUACUGGAGGAAAUGCUAUGAAAGAUGUUACUGGCUCACUAGACAAAAUCGGAAUGCAGACAGAUUAUAGUAUACACACACAUAUGCAUAUAUAUACAUAGAGGGAGGCGGAGAGAGGCAGAGACAGGGAGAUGUGGGACAGGGAGAGACAGAGAAGAAAGCCAACAAUAAAGCAAAUGGGGCAAAAUGUUAACGUUAGGUGAAUCUGUGUAAAAGACACAAGUGUUCUUUAUACUAUUUUUACAACAUUUCCUUAAGUUUGAAAUUAUUUUCAAACAAAAAGUUAAAAAAGAAUUAGAAUGCUAUUAAAUAUUGUACAUGUAUAUUUUAAAAUUCUGAGGAACAUUUAGAAAUAGAAAUAUUUCCUGUGUAAAAGGACAGUCUUCCCUUUUCCUCCUCCCCAACAGACCCAAUAAAACAAAAUCAUGGAUGAGUCAGUGACAUUUAUAAGUUUUACAAAGAGAAAACAAACUAGGGGCUCCUGGGUGGCUCAGUCAUCAAGCGUCUGCCUUCAGCUCAGGUCAUAAUCCCAGGGUCCUGGGAUGGAGCCCCGCAUCUGGCUCCCUGCGCAGCAGGAAGCCUGCUUCUCCCUCUCCCACUCCCCCUGCUUGUGUUCCCUCUCUCGCUGUGUCUCUCUCUGUCAAAUAAAUAAAU